rnacentral:RNase_P_RNA from 3 species
CGAGUAAGUUGAAUGGUCGCGUGCUUAGUGCAUGAGGAAAGUCCGUGCUCCGUAGGGCAGGAUGCUGGAUAACGUCCAGUGGGGGUGACCCUAAGGAUAGUGCAACAGAGAUAUACCGCCAGAACUCUUUCUCAGUUCAUAAUAAGAAUUACUACUGGGUUUGUAGUGAAAUAGCUGAUGAAAUAACUGAAAGAUGUGGCUAUCUGGUAAGGGUGGAAAGGCGAGGUAAGAGCUCACCAGCAUUUAGGUGACUAAAUGGCUCUGUAAACCCCAUCUGGAGCAAGACCAAAAAGGAACAUAAAAGGUGGUAGCCCGCUACCGUUCCAAUGGUAGGUCGCAUGAACCUAUUGGUGACGAUAGGUCUUAGAUAGAUGACCAUUUAAACAGAACACGGCUUACAGACUUACUCGUGUA